rnacentral:misc_RNA from 1 species
UCCCCGUUUAAGCGAGGCAGUCUGUCCAGAGUGCUCCAAUCUCUCGAUCGGGUGGCAACAGGACAUAGGGGUUGCGCUCGUUGCGGGACUUAACCCAACAUCUCACGGCACGAGCUGACGACAGCCAUGCAGCACCUUACCACCAGCCCCUUGCGGGGAAGUGAGCUUUCACCCACCGUCCAGUGGCAUUCUAGCCCGGGUAAGGUUCCUCGCGUAUCAUCGAAUUAAACCACAUGCUUCACCGCUUGUGCG